AGUCUGAUCGUGAAAAGGGUGUUGUGAGUUAGAGCCCUUCCUGACGAGUUGUAGAGCUAGAGGAAUAUCAGCUACAGGUAGUUGUAGUUUUUGAGUUCAUAUACAUAAUUUGGUUGUAUUUCGCUGGAGCGAGCGUUUUGUAUACCUGGAUGUAUGUAUGUAUAGUGGACUUUGGUUUUUAUAUAUAUUUCAUUUCUUUUAGCAGCUCUAUACUACUGGUUGUAGUAUUGUAUGUUUACAGGUACAGCUAUCGCUUCGUAUACAGGAAAAUUUUUUUUGUAUACGGCGAAUUUGUCGGCGUGCCCGGAAAACGAGUAAUCCAGGGCGUGACAGAUUAAGUUGGUAU
rnacentral:lncRNA from 1 species